AGCCUCCGUUUAUGUUGUGAUCAGCUUUGAUCAGCUCUUCAACUUGAGAGUUUGAUCCUGGCUCAGAGCGAACGCUGGCGGCAGGCUUAACACAUGCAAGUCGAGCGGGCAUCCUUGUGGUGUCAGCGGCAGACGGGUGAGUAACGCGUGGGAACGUGCCCUUCGGUUCGGAAUAACUCAGGGAAACUUGAGCUAAUACCGGAUACGUGCGAGAGCAG
rnacentral:rRNA from 1 species